rnacentral:lncRNA from 1 species
CUUGUAUUACCCAGGUAAGCCAGUGUGAUUAGAGGACAUCUUAAAAUAGAAGAGGAUAAUCAGAGGAUUGUAUGACUGUGAAAAAAUGAGGGAAGGAUGCAAUGUUGCUGGCUUUGAAGGCAAAGGAAGAGGACCAUGAGCCAAGGAAUGAGGGCAGCUUCUCAAAGCUGGAAAGAACCUUCCUCCAUAUGACCAAAGAAAAUGACUACUUCCAAAUGUACCUUCACACCAUCUCAGCUUAACAACUAAUAGAAGGAAAACACUGCUCACCUUUAUAGAUCCAGAAUACUGGGACAAAUACUAAGAUCAUUUAUUACCUAUUUGAAAAAGAACAUCUUAUCACGAUUUGAUGGAGAUAUUUUGGUUCCAGAGGGCAGAAAGGA